UACGAAGGGGGCUAGCGUUGUUCGGAAUUACUGGGCGUAAAGCGCACGUAGGCGGAUCGAUCAGUCAGGGGUGAAAUCCCAGAGCUCAACUCUGGAACUGCCUUUGAUACUGUCGAUCUGGAGUAUGGAAGAGGUGAGUGGAAUUCCGAGUGUAGAGGUGAAAUUCGUAGAUAUUCGCAAGAACACCAGUGGCGAAGGCGGCUCACUGGCCCGGUACUGACGCUGAGGUGCGAAAGCGUGGGGAGCAAACAGG
rnacentral:rRNA from 1 species